UCCGAGUUGACCCCGGCAGUCUCCUACGAGUCCCCGCCAUUACGCGCUGGCAACAUAGAAUAAGGGUUGCGCUCGUUGCGGGACUUAACCCAACAUCUCACGACACGAGCUGACGACAGCCAUGCACCACCUGUAUGGGGCCCCGAAGGACACCGUAUCUCUACGGCUUUUCCCCACAUGUCAAACCCAGGUAAGGUUCUUCGCGUUGCCUCGAAUUAAGCAACAUGCUCCGCUGCUUGUGCGGUCCCCCGUCAAUUCCUUUGAGUUUUAACCUUGCGGCCGUACUCCCCAGGCGGGGUACUUAAUGCGUUAGCGACGGCACGGAUCCCGUUGAUAAGGACCCACACCUAGUACCCAACGUUUACGGCGUGGACUAC
rnacentral:misc_RNA from 1 species